UACGAAGGGGGCUAGCGUUGUUCGGAAUCACUGGGCGUAAAGCGCACGUAGGCGGAUCGUUAAGUCGGGGGUGAAAUCCCAGGGCUCAACCCUGGAACUGCCUUCGAUACUGGCGAUCUUCGAGUCCGGGAGAGGUGAGUGGAACUCCGAGUGUAGAGGUGAAAUUCGUAGAUAUUCGGAAGAACACCAGUGGCGAAGGCGGCUCACUGGCCCGGUACUGACGCUGAGGUGCGAAAGCGUGGGGGGCAAACAGG
rnacentral:rRNA from 1 species